rnacentral:lncRNA from 1 species
UUCACAACUACCCGUAACUCCAGCUCCAAGGGAUCUCUGACGCCCUCCGCUCACCUCCUCUGAUAUCUGCAUGCACAUAGAUUAAAGACUACUGGAACACAUGAAGAGGCAGGUCCUACAGAUCCAAAGAGGAGAGAUCAUCAUGGCACAGGGGAACAACAGAAGACCAGAGAGGAGUCCCUGUGAAGAUCCAGUACUGAUGGUGUAGUGGCCUUGAACCAGACAAGUGACUCAUUCAUUGCAAUGAACAUUCACAAGUACAGAUGUGUGGACAAAAGGGUAUAGUGUGGGAC